UACAGAGGUCUCAAGCGUUGUUCGGAUUCAUUGGGCGUAAAGGGUGUGUAGGUGGCGCGCUAAGUCGGGUGUGAAAUUUCGGAGCUUAACUCCGAAACUGCAUUCGAUACUGGCGUGCUUGAGGACUGGAGAGGAGACGUGGAAUUUACGGUGUAGCAGUGAAAUGCGUAGAUAUCGUAAGGAAGACCAGUGGCGAAGGCGGGU
rnacentral:rRNA from 1 species